CAGAGAAUAGUUUAUUAAAAUAUAAAUUUUGGAGAUUUAUGAUGGGAAAAACUUCCUUCUCUGA
rnacentral:tRNA from 1 species